rnacentral:rRNA from 1 species
AGAUUGAACGCUGGCGGCAUGCCUAACACAUGCAAGUCGAACGGGAGUAGCAAUACUCUAGUGGCGGACGGGUGAGGAAUACGUAGGAAUUUGCCCUUAAGUGGGGGAUAACCCGGGGAAACCCGGAUUAAUACCGCAUGACCUCGAAAGGGCAAAGUGGGGGAUCGCAAGACCUCACGCUUUUGGAGAAGCCUACGUCGGAUUAGCUAGUUGGUGAGGUAAUGGCUCACCAAGGCGACGAUCCGUAACUGGUCUGAGAGGAUGAUCAGUCACACCGGAACUGAGACACGGUCCGGACUCCUACGGGAGGCAGCAGUGGGGAAUAUUGGACAAUGGGCGCAAGCCUGAUCCAGCAAAUGCCGCGUGUGUGAAGAAAGGCCUCGGUGUUAAGUACUAC